GACGAACCGUGCGAACGUUGUUCGGAAUCACUGGGCUUAAAGGGCGCGUAGGCGGGCUGACAAGUCUGGGGUGAAAUGCCGCGGCUCAACCGUGGAACUGCCUCAGAUACUGUCGGCCUCGAGGAAGGUAGGGGCAUGCGGAACUGUAGGUGGAGCGGUGAAAUGCGUUGAUAUCUACAGGAACUCCGGUGGCGAAAGCGGCGUGCUGGACCUGUUCUGACGCUGAGGCGCGAAAGCUAGGGGAGCAAACGGG
rnacentral:rRNA from 1 species